UUUGACACCGGGCCGUUAGGCUCUUCCGUUGGGGUUAGUACGCAAGGUCGGACCUCGUGCCUCCUUAGGGUACGAUUGAAGGGGUCGAGUAAGUACCC